CCUACGGGAGACAGCAGUAGGGAAUCUUUCACAAUGGGCGAAAGCCUGAUGGAGCAACGCCGCGUGCAGGAUGAAGGCCUUCGGGUUGUAAACUGCUUUUAUAAGCGAGAAAUAUGAUGGUAACUUAUGAAUAAGGAUCGGCUAACUACGUGCCAGCAGCCGCGGUCAUACGUAGGAUCCGAGCAUUAUCCGGAGUGACUGGGUGUAAAGAGUUGCGUAGGUGGCAUAAUAAGUAGCUAGUGAAAUCUGGUGGCUCAACCAUUCAGACUAUUUGCUAAACUGUUAAGCUCGAGACCGUUAGGGGUAACUGGAAUUUCUAGUGUAGGAGUGAAAUCCGUAGAUAUUAGAAGGAACACCAAUAGCGUAGGCAGGUUGCUGGGACGGUUCUGACACUAAGGCACGAAAGCGUAGGGAGCAAACGGGAUUAGAUACCCCGGUAGUC
rnacentral:rRNA from 1 species